UAAUUAUCAUACCUUGAAUAUUGCCUGUGUUUGCCCGGAGUCUUCGGGUUUGAAAAGCAAUUACUAUGGAUGACAAUCUCUUUCCUCCUGGAAUGGACUUGGUAUGAAGCUCCACCGACUUCCCCACAAGGUCCCACCACCACAUCGGCAAACACUAACCUUCACAGGAGAUACUUCUCAAUUUUUCUUGGUACUGUCAAC